ACUGAUAUCUUUCAUUUUUAAAAAAAAAGCAUGAAUAGAGUAUAACCGAUCAACGUCCUUGACGCAUAUAUCAGCGUCCAAGUCGUCGUCUUCCAAAAGAUGUGAAAAAACCGUCAAAAAAGGUGUAAACGGACAAUAAAGAAACAGCCAAAGAUAACAAAUAUUUUUUGAAAUAGGAUCAAGAACCACCAAAAAUCCCUUAAUAACGUCAAUAGCUGCUCUAGCCGUGCUUAAACAAAUUUUUGAUCCUUCAAUGCUAUCGUCCGCGAGAUAUAAAUAAAUAAGUGUAUUGCAAUAUGACA